ACUAAACUUAUCAAAAACAAUAUCAAAUAAUUCGCUAAAUUAAUUUAGGUCCUCUUGAUUUCUCCUUACAAUCGAUUUCAAGAUGAUUAACCAUUGGCAAACUUCCUUUAUUCAUCACUCUUGUACCAACUCUUUGAAUAUCUUUCUCUAUCACGUAUUAGGAAUGAAAAAUAAUUUUCGAUAAAAUUAAUUUGGGUCCUUUCGAUUUUUCUUUGCAAUCGAUUUCCAGAUGAGUAACCAUUGACAAACUUCUUCAUCACUAUUAUAUCAAUCUCUUUGAAUAUUUUUCUCUCUCACAUAUUAGGAAUACAAAAUAUUUAUAAAAAAAAAAUCGAAUCUGCAAGUAAUUUGCAGUGAAGGUUUUUGUGGUUUGAGAAAAAAAUUGAUUAGAAGAAGAUGAAGAAGAAAGGGGGUUGGGUAGGGUGGGGUUGAGUAAAAUGGGUUGUCAUUUCAUUUAUUUUUUUAUUAAGAAAUAGAAAUAAAAUUUAUUUGAAAUAAUUUUCAUUCUUUUUAACAUAAAAAAAAAUACUAUAGUUGUUGGGGUCAAGUGACACAUGUCAUCUUUUAAUUAGUCAUUUUUGCCACGUCAUAGCAAGUGUAUCACACACACUUUACCUUUUUUACUCAUUAUCGAAAAAGAUCUAAUAGGAACAAGUUUUAGAUAGAUAAAAGUGUUCAAUAGUUACUAGUCCUAGUUGAGGUGUCUAAGUGAAUUAUGCGGACAACUUUAAGGGGCCGCAGAUGACCUAAGCCUAAAAUAAACAACACAUGGUGGUACGGAUGGCAAUGGGGUGGUGUGGGGCGGGGUGAAUUUAACUUAACCCGCAAAUUUUUUAAUCUGUCCUGCCCCGCAUAACAAUUUUUUUCAUUUUCGGCGCCCCACAUAAUUUUUUUAAUAUUUUUUUUUCUAGUUAAGUUUGAUACUAAAAGUAGAAUUCAAAAAAAUAAAUUCACUUGUAUGCCUCUGUCUGCCCAAUCUUGCAUUGGCUCAUUAAGCUCUGAUUCUGUCUUGGAACAUGUGUACACUUUUGCACCAAGUCCAGCUAGCUCCUCUACAACUGCAUGACUAAAAAAAAAAAACUUUUAUUAACGAUUUAAGUUAUAUUUAAGUUAUAUGCACGAACAACAAGUCAACGACUAAUAACAAAUGUAACAAAUUUUUACACUAUAUCAUCGUCGUGAAAUUAAAAAAUGUAAAGUACCCAAUUCCAGUAGUGCCACCAGUGACGAGAGCAGCCAAACCAUUAAGUGACCAUCUAGAACUUUUGGCAAACGCUGCAACUUUAGCCAUUUGAGUUCUACUUUUUUCUUGCUUCGAAGAUAUUGUGUGUGUAUAUAUAUAGGAAAUAUAUAUUUUACUUAUUAGAUACUUAAUUAAUUAAUUGCUCUAAAAAAAAAUUUAAACAUUAUAUAAAGUAGUACAGCUAAUCUAUACUACAUUUUUUAUUUUCAAAACAUUUACUAUAACUCUCAUGUGCAGAUUUUCGAGGCUCGUGUUAGAUGUAGCUAAACCAUGUGGAAGAUGACAAUAUAAUACCAAAAUGCUCUUUAAUCUUGUGGUCUUAAACAUGCACGUCACAUGGAAAAUUAAAAUUAAAAAACAAUUACAUACUCGAGCUAACUCCCAUGAUUUUUGAUUAAAAUUGAAGGGAUCUUAUUCAUUUCACCACGCGAUUUUUGUUUAGUGUUGGUGAUUUUCCAUGUUCUAUAUCAACACGUUUUUUGAGGAGAUAGAUUUGUAAGUUGUAACAACGUCGCCUUCAAACAUAUAUAUGAAUAUAAAAUAAAGGUUUAAGUCAUUCACGGUCCCUUAAAGUUGUCCACAUAUUUCAUUUAGAUACCUUAACUAGGACUACUACCUAUUGAACACUUAAAUUGUUCAAAAAAUAUGUUCCUAUUAAACACAAAAUGUUGAUAUGGCAAAAGAAGUGUUUUUCACUUCCUAUGGGCGCGUGAAAGUUUUUGAAAUACUGUUUUAUUUUUAUUUUUUCCAAAAAACUUACACUUUUUCUUCUUUAAUUGACACUUGGCAUUUAAAUAAAUUAAAAUAAUUUUUUAAUAUUUUUAAAAAAUUAUAAUUCUUAAUUCAAAAAAGAAAGAGCACCCCUACCCCGCUUCAAGUCAUGACACACAUAGUGUCAGUUGUGUGAGGCCUCAUUUGGCUGCCACAUGUAUACUGUGGGACCUAUAUGUACUUAUUUCCCUACUUUUCUUUUCUAAUUUUAAUCUUUUCUUUUACUUUUUCUUUCUUACUUACAUUUUCCUUUCUGCUUGUUAAUUCUUAGUGUAAAUUUUAUUUUUGAUUUUUUAUUUUAAUAACGAAACUUUAAAAAUCACACACGGUAUUGAUUAUAUAUAUUUUAUAUCUCUAUUACUAUUUAUUUGAGGGAAAAUUAAAGUAAUAUGUCGAAAAAAUUAAAUUUACUUAUUUUUUGAUGAAUUCAAGAAAAUGGAGGAUAGUGAAAUUAAAAAAAAAAAUUAGUGAAAAUUCAUGUAAUCAACCCACUGAACUAAUUAGUUUAUGCUUUUCUUUUUUUACGUACUGAAUUUUGAUUUAAAUUUAUGAUAAUUAUAUAAGUUUUUAGUUUAUUAUUUUAAUAUUAUUUUUUCUAUUCUAUAUUAUUUAUUUUAUUAUAAUAAAUAUUUGUUUGAAUUUAUUUUUAGUUUAUAAAAUCAAGAUAUAAGUAGUUUUUUAAUCCUAAAAAUUAAUUUUUUAUAAUUAUAAAUAAAUUUUGUAAAAUUGCAAAAAUUCUUUUAAGGAAUAAAUUAUUAAAAAUAUUAUUUAUAUUUAUAAUUUCUUUAAGAACAUGUAAGAAAAGUAGAUAAGCAAAAUAUUUAUUAAAUUUCACCUAUCUUGAUUUUUAAGAAUAAGAAUAUGGUAUAAAUUGACAGAAAUAAUAUGUAUUUAUGUUGGUGUUUAUGGAUGUUUUUCGUUUUUGAAUUUCAUGACAAUAGUAUCAAAACUUAUGUAAUUGUUUUUCGAGAUCAUUGAUGUUCUUUCCAUUUUAGUUACUUAUUGAAGAGUAUUUGUGGAUUGAAGUGUUUUUGAAUUAUGAAAUUGUUGAGAGAAAAAUAAAAGAACAUAUUAAAUUUAUACCUUCUUUAUUUUUCAUAUUAAUGAUCUACUUUUUCUUUUACAAAUUUUCUUAAGAAAACACAAAUAAAAUAUAUACCUUAAUUUUUUUUGGUAACUUUAUAUAUUUUAUUUAUAGUUUCAAAAAUAAUUAAUUGUUAUAAUAAAAUAGAAAUUUUUUAAUUAAUCAUAUCUUUGUAAAUUAAAAAAUAAUUUUAUAUAACUGUCUGCCACAUACUUAGUGCUUCAUCCAUGAUAACAAUUUUCAUCUUCUUCCCCAAAUUUAAAUUUUCAAAUACAACUAAAGAAUCUCCAUUGUUUUUUGUUUUUUUCUUUUUCUAUUUCUUUUCAAUAUUCAUAAAAAAAACUGAAUCAAGUAACUGAAUUUGCAAGAAAAAUAACCAAAGUAGAUUUUUGAACAUUGGGAUAAAAAAAGUAAGUCGGUGUUCCAUCUCCAUUUCUGGUCACCUUCGAUUAAAUAUUACCAUUCAGAUAAAAUUGUAAACUCACUAAACUUAUCAAAAACAAUAUCAAAUAAUUCGCUAAAUUAAUUUAGGUCCUCUUGAUUUCUCCUUACAAUUGAUUUCAAGAUGAUUAACCAUUGGCAAACUUCCUUUAUUCAUCACUCUUGUACCAACUCUUUGAAUAUCUUUCUCUAUCAUGUAUUAGGAGUGAAAAAUAAUUUUCGAUAAAAUUAAUUUGGGUUCUUUCGAUUUUUCUUUGCAAUCGAUUUCCGGAUGAGUAACCAUUGACAAACUUCUUCAUCACUAUUAUAUCAAUCUCUUUGAAUAUUUUUCUCUCUCACAUAUUAGGAAUACAAAAUAUUUUUUUUUAAAAAUCGAAUCUGCAAGUAAUUUGCAGCGAAGGUUUUUGUGGUUUGAGAAAAAAAAUUGAUUAGAAGAAGAUGAAGAAGAAAGGGGGUUGGGUAGGGU
rnacentral:lncRNA from 1 species